GAUGAAGAACGCAGCGAAAUGCGAUAAGUAAUGUGAAUUGCAGAAUUCCGUGAAUCAUCGAAUCUUUGAACGCACAUUGCGCCCCCUGGUAUUCCGGGGGGCAUGCCUGUCCGAGCGUCAUUGCAAACCCUCAAGCCCGGCUUGUGUGAUGGGUCGCAGCGUCCCCGAUCUCCAGGGGACGGGCCCGAAAUGCAGUGGCGGCGUCGCGGUCAUCCGAUCAGCCGAAGCGUAUGGGGACUCUCCGUCAGACGCUCAGCGGCACGGACCGACGCCCGCCUAAGGGACUGCCCCUAACAAGGCGUCUUGUAUCUUUCAAGGUUUGACCUCGGAUCAGGUAGGGAUACCCGCUGAACUUAAGCAUAUCAAUAAGCGGAGGA
rnacentral:misc_RNA from 1 species